AUGAAUCAAAUUCGGUCUUCUGUGCUGGUGGAAACACAUGUGCACGUCGAUCGUAAUUCCAUCCUCCUCCCCAACCGUCCAUGUGUGUAUUUGGUCGACCUCGGUCGAAGAGUUGUGGCCCUUGGCCUCGAUUCGUUCCAGAUGCACCUUGGUUAUUUCACCCACUCUGGGUAUUAGAAACAAAGAAAAAUAUAUAUAAACUAUA
rnacentral:misc_RNA from 1 species